rnacentral:tRNA from 1 species
GGGGUUGUAGCUCAGUGGUAGAGCACUUGCCUCGCAUGAGGCACUGGGUUUGACCCUCAGCACCA